rnacentral:rRNA from 1 species
AUUGAACGCUGGCGGCAGGCCUAACACAUGCAAGUCGAGCGGAUGAAGGGAGCUUGCUCCUGGAUUCAGCGGCGGACGGGUGAGUAAUGCCUAGGAAUCUGCCUGGUAGUGGGGGAUAACGUCCGGAAACGGGCGCUAUUACCGCAUACGUCCUGAGGGAGAAAUGGGGGGAUCUUCGGACCUCACGCUAUCAGAUGAGCCUAGGUCGGAUUAGUUAGUUGGUGGGGUAAAGGCCUACAAAGGCGACGAUCCGUAACUGGUCUGAGAGGAUGAUCAGUCACACUGGAACUGAGACACGGUCCAGACUCCUACGGGAGGCAGCAGUGGGGAAUAUUGGACAAUGGGCGAAAGCCUGAUCCAGCCAUGCCGCGUGUGUGAAGAAGGUCUUCGGAUUGUAAAGCACUUUAAGUUGGGAGGAAGGGCAGUAAGUUAAUACCUUGCUGUUUUGACGUUACCAACAGAAUAAGCACCGGCUAACUUCGUG